rnacentral:rRNA from 1 species
GGGGAAUAUUGCACAAUGGAGGAAACUCUGAUGCAGCGACGCCGCGUGAGUGAAGAAGGUCUUCGGAUCGUAAAACUCUGUCCUUGGUGACGAAAAAUAUGACGGUAGCCAAGGAGGAAGCCCCGGCUAACUACGUGCCAGCAGCCGCGGUAAUACGUGGGGGGCGAGCGUUGUCCGGAUUUACUGGGCGUAAAGGGUGAGUAGGCGGUAAUAUGUGUCAGAUGUAAAAGGCUAUGGCUUAACCAUAGUUGGCAUUUGAAACUGUAUUACUUGGGUGCAGGAGAGGUAAGUGGAAUUCCUAGUGUAGAGGUGAAAUGCGUAAAUAUUAGGAGGAACACCAGUGGCGAACGCGACUUACUGGACUGGAACUGACGCUGACUCACGAAAGCGUGGGUAGCAAACA